rnacentral:rRNA from 1 species
AUUGAACGCUGGCGGCAGGCCUAACACAUGCAAGUCGAGCGGAUGACGGGAGCGUGCUCCUUGAUACAGCGGCGGACGGGCGAGUAAUGCCUAGUAAUCUGCCUGGUAGUGGGGGACAACGUUUCGAAAGGAACGCUACUACCGCAUACGCCCUACGGGAGAAAGCAGGGGACCUUCGGGCCUCGCGCUAUAAAAUGCUCCUAGGUCGGAGUAGCUAGUUGGUGGGUUAAUGGCUCACCAAGGCGACGAUCCGUAACUGGUCUGAGAGGAUGAUCAGUCACACAGGAACUGAGACACGGUCCAGACUCCUACGGGAGGCAGCAGUGGGGAAUAUUGGACAAUGGGCGAAAGCCUGAUCCAGCCAUGCCGCGUGUGUGAAGAAGGUCUUCGGAUUGUAAAGCACUUUAAGUUGGGAGGAAGGGCAGUAAGUUAAUACCUUGCUGUUUUGACGUUACCGAAAGAAUAAGCACCGGCUAACUCUGUGCCAGCCGCCGCGGUAAUAC